rnacentral:rRNA from 1 species
CCGGCGACCGGCGGACGGGUGCGUAACGCGUAUGUAACCUACCUUUGACAGGGGGAUAACAUCGAGAAAUUGGUACUAAUACCCCAUAACAUCACCGGAGGCAUCUUCGGUGGUUGAAAACUCAGGUGGUCAGAGAUGGACAUGCGUUGUAUUAGCUAGUUGGUGAGGUAACGGCUCACCAAGGCGACGAUACAUAGGGGGACUGAGAGGUCAACCCCCUCAUUGGUACUGAGACACGGCCAAACUCCUACGGAAGGCAGCAG